UAGGGAAUCUUCGGCAAUGGGGGGAACCCUGACCGAGCAACGCCGCGUGAGUGAAGAAGGUUUUCGGAUCGUAAAGCUCUGUUGUUAAGGAAGAACGAGUGUGAGAAUGGAAAGUUCAUACUGUGACGGUACUUAACCAGAAAGGGACGGCUAACUACGUGCCAGCAGCCGCGGUAAUACGUAGGUCCCGAGCGUUGUCCGGAUUUAUUGGGCGUAAAGCGAGCGCAGGCGGUUAGAUAAGUCUGAAGUGAAAGGCAGUGGCUCAACCAUUGUAGGCUUUGGAAACUGUUUAACUUGAGUGCAGAAGGGGAGAGUGGAAUUCCAUGUGUAGCGGUGAAAUGCGUAGAUAUAUGGCGGAACACCGGUGGCGAAAGCGGCUCUCUGGUCUGUAACUGACGCUGAGGCUCGAAAGCGUGGGGAGCGAACAGG
rnacentral:rRNA from 1 species